UUCGAUUUUCUAAUAUGCGUACCUUGGAAAAUAUGAAUUGAACUAUUAUUAUUGUUGAUCUGACUUGGCAAUUCUCAGCGUCAAUUAUUCUUACUAGGCUUGUAAUAAUCAAGGAUCGAGUAAUUAAUUAAUUAAAGCUCUUGAAUCAUGGAAGUAAUGCAUGAAUGCAUCAAGUAAUCCGGAUCAGAAUAGUAAAACCAAAGAAGCACAACUUUUAUUCCCGCAGAUAGUCUUAGCCUAGGUUACAUAAAUUAAUGCAUGAAUGCAUGAGCAGCAGCUGCAUGCAAUAUUAUUGAACCCAAAUCACAACAAAAGGAAAACUUAAGACAAUGCCACUUUCGCAGGGAACGCGAUUGCAUUUAGCGUAUGCAACAAGCCUUUUAAACCUAUAGGUGACCCUGAUAGGACGAGUGAAGUCUCGUGAGGGUUUCCAGUGACGCUACCCACAAACAUCGUAUUAACUUAACAGGAUGAUCAUCCUGGAAGUUUUUCGACAAUGAAGAAAUGUUCAUGGGUGGGGCCUCCAGGUUCUGCAAUGAGGGCAUUUUCGAACUCGUUUCCAGAUUUUGGCUUUAAAAGGUUUCCCAUUUUCUCAUGGUGGAACUUGUAUAUGCCUUCGGUGUACGGUCCUGGUGGUUUCACAACCUCAGGCUUGAAGAGUGUACAUGACCACAGCGUUUUAUUUGGCUGUUUCUCGUCAGCCCCGGCCACAAUCCACGAACUGUCUUGGCUUGCCGUUAUCCAGUAUUUGUCGUUGUAGGUGGAUUUUAUAUGCACCAGACUGGGGAGGUUUACGUCCUUCUCCACUUUGAACCUUGCGUAUUUGCUCUGAACAUCCUCUCCGGAGCAUUGGAGAAUAUCUUGCAUCUUUUCGGUGGCUUGGUCUUUGUAGACCAAGUAUUUACCGCUCGUGAAUGAUUUAAGAGCAAUGAACUUUGGUAAUUCUGCCAUUUCUGAUGAUCUCUCGCUCGCGCUUCAAUUUUUUUUUAUGUAAACUCACUUCUCUCUCUCUCUCUCGUUGCUUAUUGCUUUUCCUAACUCCAACCUGCUGUGCUAUUUAUAAUCAAGCAAACCCAAACCCUGCAUGCAGCUCUGGCUUCUUUUUCUUGCUGUACUGGCCCGCGAUAAGAAAAUUGAAGCCACAAAAAAAAAAAGUCGAGCCAGGUGGCAGUUUUGAAAGGUCAAGUAAUAUUGUUCUUGAUAUAAAACAAACUAAAGCGUGCUCCACGUCUUCAAAUAAAACAAAGUUAAGGCUAGUAAUUAUCGACAUCGAUAUUUUGCGAUAUUAUCGUCGAUAUUGUCAAUAUUUAUACGAUAUGUACAUGGAUAUGUUUCGAAAUAUCCGUGAUUCAAAAAAACCGAAAUAUCCUCGAUAUUUCCUCGAUAUUAUCGAUAUUUCAGACUAUGAUGUGAACUUGAUUAUGUAAUUUCUACUACAUGCACUUAUGGGACAUAACCAUUUAUCAAUUAUAAUAAUGUCACAUAAAAAUUGAAGCCACAAAAAAAAAAAAGUCAAGCCAGGUGGCAGUUUUGAAAGGUCAAGUAAUAAUGUUCUUGAUAUAAAACAAACUAAAGCGUGCUUCACGUCUUCAAAUAAAACAAAGUUAAGCCUAGUAAUCUAUUCUCUGUUGUAAUGUGAACUUGAUUAUGUAAUUUCUACUACAUGCACUUAUGGACAUAACCAUUUAUCAAUUAUAAUAAUGUCAUCGACUAGGACUGAACAGCGACGGCUGAAGGCCCAGCUCAUUCUUAAUCUUAGGCAACACAUGUGCUGGGUUUCAUUUCAUAAAUUCAUAACCAAACCAAGCUAGGUCAUAGAAGGAAGCAAAUUAAGCAAUUGAAAUCCACAUCGGCUGAAAAAAUCUCUCUUGAAAAACCAUAUAAUUGGAGGGUCUGCAAAACUAGACUGUGUGUACGUAGCCAACUUUAUUAAAAUGCCAAUUCAAGUCCUAUGAACACACAUUUCCUUGAAAGUUGCUGGCCAAAUUUUCUUUGUUUUGGUUUUCAAUGAGUUCGAUUUCCUUGAGCAUCACUGAAAAGAUAUUAUAUAUGUGAAAUCUUUUUGUCAGUCUUUGAAUUUACCCAAUGUGGGUGAUCAAUUUUUAUGAUUGCAUUCUAGACUUCUCCUUAGUACAAAACAAAACUACGUGAUUGAUUGAAACGUCAUUAAUUAAUUUAGACAUAUAGGCAUUUGCAUUAAUUCAUUCUAGAUAGUAGAUACACAUCUCCAUAACGCAGAAAGAAUUAGCAUGUCCUUAAUGUGAACUUCGUUAAUAAAUUGAAGAGGAGUUGGAGAACAGUUAGAUGAAUGAAUUAAAGAGGAGUUGGAGAGACGCGGAUGCAAGGGCACACUAAGAAAACUACAGGGUUUAUUUAUAGUUUUAGUGCUAAUAAUGGGUAUAUGACUAAAUAUCUCUAUAAAAAAAAUUAGUGAAUUUAAUCAGAAUGUAAUGACUUAUAGAAUUUUACCUUGGGGCACUUUAAGUCCGUUCCUCCUUAAUAAAGCAUCACUUAAUAGAUUUGAAUUAUGAGCUGAACCCUCCCACCCGCUAAAAACGUAAAUGAAUUCUAAAUCAAAGUUACAAGCUACUGAAACCAUUUAUCAAUUAUAAUUAUGUCAUUAAUUAGGAUUGAACAAUAUGAUUGUAAUGCCAUUUCUAAAGCGUGCUUCACGUCUUCAAAUAAAACAAAGUUAGGCCUAGUAUUUUCUUCUUUAUUGUUUCGGUGCUUAAUGUGAACUUCAUUAUGUAACUUCUAUUACUUGUACUUAAGGGCCAUAGCCAUUUAUCAAAUUAUAAUGAUGUCAUUAAUUAGGAUUGAACAACAAGGUCGUUGAGAUGUUUACAUACUUUAAUUACAGACAUAUGAUAAGUUUAGGAGAGUGAUAUGUAGUUUCAAUUAUUCCUUUCACACAUACCCUAAACUUUAAACCCUAAACCCCUUUCUCUUAAGCAAAAUCUAUCGGUUUUGGGUAAGUUUGAGACACUUGUGGACGAUUGUUUUUAAUUUGGACCCUAUGAAAAUACCUGUAGGAUGUCUAUAUAAAUACCUAGAGAAGGUUAAAUAGGCUAAUUCGAUUUUUGCAAUGAAUAAUAAUCAACUUUUGAAGUAGGAUUGAUAUGAGUUAUCAAUCCUGAAAUGUGCAGAGCUUAAAAUAAAAGAACACACAGAUAUUUAUUUUACGUGGUAAAACCCCACAUCUGGGGAAAAUCCACGGGACUCCUUAGUCCAGAACGAAUCCACUAUAGAAUUGAGAUUACAAGAAGUUCUCACACACACUUAUCCUAGACUCAAUGUUUACCGACUUAUUCAUAAUGUUUACCGACUUAUUCAUAACUCAACUUUUGUCAUGGGAUGAUCUUCGACACUCCUUAUGUUGAACGCAAUAUUGGUCACGAUUGCUUCAAGCUCACCGGAGGAUAAACGCCACAAACGUCUUGAUGCCCUUGACCGUAUGAGCCACUGACAUGCAUAUGUAUGCAAUAUGAAUGAUGAAUGAGUUUGAUAAAUCACCAAGCAACCAGGAGCCCUUGAUGACUUACCGAGAAAAAUAAGUACAGUAGCUUUUCCAAAAAACAGAUUCAAUAUGCUCUCAAAAUCAAUGCGUUGAAAUGCUACACUAUGAAAAGAAGACACCUUGGUUUUAUUCAAAACAGGUUCUCUCAGUCAAGAGAAACCUACUUGACCACCAAUCCAAUUCACGAAAGACUUUCAACCUUAUUCAACUACCACACAACAAAACCUGAUGCAAUAUGGACACUAGUUAAACAUGUCAAACAGGAGACCACUCAUACUGUUCAAGCAUGAAUGUUUCUUUUGAUUCAAUUUACAUGCUAUGUGAUGAUGCCAGCUAAUGCACGAUGUGAGGAAACCUCAUGACUUUCUACUACAGCCAAUCCUUUAAAACAAUAUCUACCUAACAAAUUAAUUAGACCGAUCAAGUAGGAAAUAAUAUCAAGAGAUAAAAUAUAAUCUUAUUGAAAAUAGGAUUAACAUAAAAAUACUUGAGUGAAAAUAAUUUCAAUUAGGAGUCCUAUAAUGAAUGCAUGAUUAUGUUAUGAUUUACCUGUUGUCAAGUUUCUCAUAUGGUCAGGUCAUGCCUCGGAAGUAUAGGGUUGAGAGAGUUGUGCCAAAGCGUCCAGUAACAAUUCCUCACAAACUAAUUUUCAACUUAUGCUAAAGUCUAGGAAAUGCCAAUACGAUUUUCGUACUAACACCCUACAAACAAAUAAAUUAAAGAAAAAAAAGUAAAAGAAGAAAAGAAUAUAAAUUCAUAUAUCUCAAUUUCUUGUGUGAAGCUUUUAAAUUCAUUUCAAAACUAAAAUUAAAAUUUAUUUGUUUUGGUUUUCAAUAAGAUUAAGUUGGAUUUCCUAAAGCAUCAUCACUGAUCUGAUGGCAUCAGAUAAGUCUUUGAAUUACCUAAUGUGAUUGAUUGAUUGGAAUGUAUCCUUAAUACUAAAAAAAAACCAUGUGAUCGACACGUCAUUGAGCACUUCCACUCUAUCGGCAAGGGCAAGGCAAGAGCAAGAGUUUAGGAUAAGAUUUUUAGUUGCCACUUGUCCAUAUUUAUUAUAACAUUCACAUCUCAAAUUUCAUAUAAAAUUUUCGAAUAAGAUUUUCGAUUGCCACGUAUCCAUAUUUAUUAUAAAAUUCACAUUUCACUCAUCAUACAAUUGAAAUACUUGUUCACUCAUCAUACAAUUGAAGAUAUCAAGAAAUUUCGAAAAUUGGGCAUCCACUUUGUUUUUUCGAAGACGUUGAGGGAACGGAAUUGGCGGUACAUAUGGCUUUACAAGGGCAGCAGGUUGAGAUAAUUUCUCUACAGUAGCAGGUUCAAUUUCUGGAGAAAUUUCAUCAAGUUGUGCAGUAGUUCCAGCAGUAAUAGACGACGACGACGGCACGUUAGUAAUUUCUGAUGUCUCUGCAGUUUGUUGAUGGAUAUUCUUUUCUUCAUCCAAGUCUACUGCUGUUUUUAUUGGCCUCCCAUUCCAAAGAGUUAUCGCCCUCGCAUGUUCUUGGUUUUUCGGAUUAUUCUCUGUUUGGCUUGGCAAAGCUCCAUUUACUCUUCCUGUCAAUACAUUAGCUAGCUGGCCCAUCUGAACCUCCAAGUUUCGAAUAGAGGCAGCUUGGUUCUGAAGGGUCGUCUCGGUUUUGCUCAUAAAUUGAUUUGUAUUGACAGAGAGAGUGUUGACAUUUCCAGCAAGUUGAGUAAUUAUAUCCUCCAAUCCAUGCUUCUUUUCUUGAGGUGUGAAAUCAGGUGGAGGUCCCUGUACAUUUUGGUUAUUACUCCAUGGAAAAUUCGGAUGGUUCUUCCAUCCUGGGUUAUAAGUGUUGGAGUAAGGAUUAUUCCGUUGUCGAUUAAAAUUAGAGACUUGGUUCACUUGUUCAGAUGGUGAUGUGAAUGGACUAGCUCCACACUCAUUGCCAUGAUGAGGUCCUGCACAAAAUUCACAACUUAAAUUAGUAUACUGAAUAGCAUUAACAUUUAUAGUACCAAGUUGUUUAGACAUAGUAGAAAUUUGCGCAGUUAACGCAGAUAUGGCGUCAAUCUCAUGAAUUCCAGCUUUCUUUGGUGUUGAUCUCUCACUAGGCCAUUGAUAGUUAUUUGACGCCAUCUCUUCCAGCAAGUUAUACGCUUUAGUUUCUGUUUUUCCCAUCAAAGCUCCUCCGGCUGCAGCAUCAAUUGUUGUUUUGCUUGUAUUGUUCAAACCAUUGUAGAACGCUUGAACUUGCAUCCAAGUAGGUAGGGCAUGAUGUGGGCACUUCCUUAGCAUAUCCUUGUAUCUGUCCCAUGCUUCAUAAAAAGGUUCCAUGUCAUUCUGAGCAAAUGACAUGAUGUCAUUUCUGAGUUUCGCAGUCUUUGCAGGAGGAAAGAAUUUAGCUAAAAAUUUCUUGGCCAAGUCGUCCCAUGUAGUAAUCGAAUUAGGUGGUUGAGAAUUCAACCAUGACUUUGCCUUUUCCUUUAAUGAGAAAGGAAAAAGCCUUAAGCGAACAGCAUCAUUGGUAGCUCCAUUGCGCUUAAAUGUGUCACAUAUCUCCAAGAAAUUAGAGAUAUGCCUAUUAGGGUCUUCUUGAGGUAAACCACAAAAGAUGGAGGAUUGUUGAAUCAUUGAAAUUAUGGCUGGUCUGAUUUUAAAAUUAUUGGCAUCAAUGGUUGGACGACGAAUGCUCGAUGGUGAUGCCACCACAGAUGGGACAUCAUAGUCCCUUACUGGUUUUGCUUCCACAGCCAUAGGUGAUGGCUUUUCCAAUAUUGCGUCCUUGCCCCUUUUGAGUUUGUUAAGCUUGUGAAGUGUUCGCUCGAUCUCUAGAUCUAAUGGUACAAGCACAAGACUCUGCGAACGUCUCCCAAAACUCAUGCACUAGGUGAAGUACCUAAAAAAACAAAAAACAAAAUUCAAAUUAAAAUUCAAAUCAAUCUAUAUCGAUAUUAAUAAAAUUUAAAACACUCUCCGACGGCGGCGCCAAAAACUUGUUGUGAUAUUUAUUGCAAGCGCACAAUUCGCACAAGUAAUAUAGUGAUGAGUGAAGUGUCGUUCCCACGAAGAGUGAUUUAAUUUAACAAGUACCGAUUGUGAUUAACCCAAGACUUUAUUUGAACAAUUGAUGAUGAGAUUUGAUUGAUUAAUUAACUAAAACAAUGAAUAAAAACAAGCGUAGAAAAAUAAAGUAGUGAGAUUCAAGUUAUGAGAGCACUAGAGCUUCCGAUUUCACCAUAGCCAAUUCUACCCAAUUCCUUUAGCAUGUUAAUCCUAAUUAUUCUCUAUGUUGACAGUUGAUUUUCCCUACUUUAUUCGAUACUCCAUCCCUGGUUAUACCAAAAGUAUUCUUAUUACCAACCCACUCUAUCCCUAGUAAUGGAAUUAAGAUAAUAAGAACCCAUUAAAUUCCUUGGAAAACCUACAAAACAACCACAUAAGUCAUGACAAACAUCUCUGUCUAAUCAUGUAACUCAUGACAUCUAUUACAAGAAGCAACCCCAAAUUGGAUAUUCCUAUUUUCAAUUUAGCAUCAAAACAAUUAAAUGUUGGCCAAACAUUCAAAGCAUUAAGCAUGGUAAUAAAUACUCAACAUGGAAAAAAUACUUGGAAUUAACAUCGACUAAAGUAAUUGAGCAUUCAUGGCUAGGCUACAUCGUAGCCCUAGCAAGAAGAAAUUAGUUCAUGACAACUUUAAUAAAAACCAUGAUAAAUAGUAUCAUAGGAAAGAAGUAACCAAUUGAAGAUUUGAUCUCUGCACGACAGCAACUCUAGCUCCAGGUUGUCUUCUUUGUCUCUCUAAAACUCUCUCAACAAUAGAUGAUGGGUAGAUGAUGGAGGAUGGAUGAUGGGUAAUGGAUCCUUUCAACAAUGACCUAAACUCCCUAUUUAUAAAACUCCUAGAAAUCCUACCUAAAGAAUAAUUACAAUUGUUAUAAAAAUAGGAUUCCUUCUAAAAUAAGGUCUUCUUUAUUUCUCCUUGUUUAACUUGAUAAGACUUGCACCAUCUUGAACUAGGAAAUUUGACAACAUUCCUUGCAACAAAAGGAAUGACUUGGCUUCUUUUUUUAUUGAUUUUCAUCUCCUUGCCUUUUUUAGCACACUUUCUCCUAUUUCACAAUUCCUUCACAAAUCUCACAAAACUAAUUAAAAACAACCAAUUUAAUCCAAGAAAUUAAUAAAUAAAUAAGCAAAGGAGGCAUAAAAUAUAUAUAAAAUAUAGACUUAUCAAAUACCCCCAAACCUGUCUUUUGCUAGUCCUCGAGCAAAACUGAAAAUCAAAAAUAAAUUAAAACAAACAAACUAAAUUAAACCACUUUUGCAGGUAAUCUCGAUGGCACUUAGCAUGUGCCACAAGCCUUUAAACCUCUAGGUGCCCCUAGUAGGAGGAGUUGUGUCUCUUGAGGGUUUACCAGUCAUGACACCCACAGACACUUCUUGCAAAACAAAUUCGUUAAAGCAAUACUUCCAACAAACUAAUAAUAACCAAUGAAUGCUAAUCACAAUUCAAAAACUAAAGUUAUGCCACUACAAAUAAAAUGCACCAUAGUGUAAAGUGUAAAGUGUAAAGCCAAAAAUCCAACAUUGAAACAUAAAGAUAACCACAUUAGGCGUGUGUACAAAUUCGUCUCGACUCUAGGCCUUACUGGAUAACUCUCAAUUUUCUCACAGAACCUAGGGUUGCACUCUUACCCCGCAUAUGUGAAUAAAGUUAGGUGAAGAAUUCAAAAUAUAAGACACAUAUGCAUCCAAGAAUCAAUAAAAGGAAAUUUCUAACAAUAGAUCUCAUGGAAAGGAAAUCAAAUACUAAAAACCAUAGAUGAAGUACAUACCUCUACUUCCGAGUAAGAAGUCCCCAAAAAUCCGUUAGGUCUUUACUAUGGUUGUAAUGAAGGGCUAGGUUAUGGGUUAUGAAAGAAAAGGAAGGAAAUACUAGAACUUGAGACAUGCCAAGGCAUUUAUCACGUUAUAAGGCUCGGCUCUUCAAAUUUACUUCACAGAGGCGUCCAGGAUUUUUGAUAUGCUUCACAUUUUUUUUUCUUUAAUAGAUUUCUCUUUUUUUUUUUCCUUUCUUUUUAUUUAUUUAUUUAUUUUUAAGCACAUAUUUCCUCGGUACACGCCACCUCUUUUGUUAAUUUAGAGAUUAACCUUCAUCCUUGUCUUCAUGCCAUGGCAUAUCCCAAGUUAUAGGGUAUGGCUAAAAAUAGGGUGAAAAGGGUAAGAAAAUAUUGUGGGUGAUGAAAGAAAAGGCUAAGUGUUUGGCUUCAAAGGGUUGAUGGCACACACAAUGGGUAGGACAUGAGUUUUUAUUUAGUGGCUAGAACAUGCAUAGCCUAACAUCAUUUCUCAAGGUCCAUCCAACUCAAAAGUAAAAGCAUGAGAUGAUUCCAAAAUAGAGAGUAGUUCUUAGUAUUCAACUCAAAAGCCUAAUUGAGAUCAAUUUAAAUAAGAAAGAAAGAAAAUAGUGAAUAAGACUAAUCCCAAAUACUCUCUCAAUGAAUGGCAAUUUGGCUCAAGUAUCUCACAAUGGUAGUCUCCACUAUUUCUCCACAAUCAUCCAAGUAUAGCUAGCUUGUCUAUUAAAAUACUUGAAGCAUGGCCAUGUGAAGUGCUAUACUUAUGAUGCAUAAACUUUCAUGGCAACACUUUAGUUAAAGAAAUAUGAUCAAACAUCACAUAUACAUCACUAUUAGUAAGAGAAAGUAAAAGCUUUAACAAAUUUUUUUUUUUUUUUUAAAAAGUUAAAGGCAUUUUGUGAUUUUUUUCAAACAAAUGUGAGUGAAUUUAUGGGCCAUAAUUGCUUAGGGAUAAAGAAAUUUCAUCAAAAGGAAGAGGACACACCUGGAAUAGCUCCUAGAAACCUCUGAUCACAAAUGGAAUGGAUCAUAAUUGAUUUGGAAUGAAAUUAGAAAAUUCUGGAAAAUUGACCUUUAGCGACGAAAAAUCUGAUGAAACACCGUCGCUAAAAACCCUUUUGUGACGAAAAAUCUUCAUAUUCUGGGUAGGUAGCAGCUAGUCUUUUUUGGGUUUUAGGCCACUUUUUUAGCUUCAAAUCUCCCUAAAACGUCAUGUAAAGCACUUGAGACCCCCAAAACAGUUUCAAAUCAUCAUAAUAACCAUUCUAAACAUGUUGGUGGCUUCAAAUUUGCCUGAAAAACAUCAAAAAGGAAAAUAUGUAAAAUUUUUAAUUUUGACCAAAAUAAGAACAUAAUAACCUAUUUUGCUAUUUUCUGGGUUUUAAAGUCAUCUAAUGGCCAAAACAACAUCUGGAACAUGUUUGCAAUCAUCACGGGGCUAGAAAAAAUCGAGAAAUGUUCUUUGAAACACAAAAUCCUUUCUUUGGAACACAAAAUCUUUUUUUCUUUUUUUUUUCUUUAUGACUCAAAACUCAAACAAAAAACAACUAAACUCCACACCCCCAAAUCUAAAUUAAGCAUUGUCCUCAAUGUUUAAAGUAAAUGCAUGUAAAAAUUAGUAAAGGCAUAGAAGGAUGGAAAAUAAAGGGAAAACAAAACAAAAUAAAAUAAAAAGGAACGAAGGUACCUAGUUGGGUUGCCUCCCAACAAGCGCUUGAUUUAUAGUCCCCAGCCCGACUUGCGAGGUCAUCACUUUGGAUCAUGUAGAGGAAUGAAAGUUCGCUGUUGAUCAAAAUUGACUUCCAAGUAUGGCUUCACUCAUUGGCCAUUUACUUUGAAAAUAGUACCUUGUUCGUCAUGCCUAACCUCAAUAACUCCAGAAGGAAAUACUUGCACUAUUGUAAAUGGUCCAGACCAACGUGAUUUCAACUUCCCGGGAAAGAGUCGGAGGCGGGAAUUAAAUAGGAGAACUUUCUAACCAGCGAAGAAAUCCUUCCUUAGAAUAUGCUUAUCAUGCCAUUUCUUUGUACGCUCCUUGUAUAUCUUGGAAGUCUCAUAAGCUUCAUUACAAAACUCAUCCAUAUCAUUCAAUUGAAUUGCCCGUUUUUCUCCUGCUGCAAUCAUGUCAAAAUUGAGUGUUUGGAGUGCCCAAUGUGCCUUAUGUUCGAGCUCAACCGGUAAGUGACAAGCUUUCCCAAAAACUAGACGAUAAGGAGACAUGCCAAUUGGUGUUUUGAACUCCGUUCGAUAGGCACAUAAGGCAUCAUCCAAUUUCAGUGACCAAUCCUUUCUUGAAGCACUCACCGUCUUUUCCAAAAUUCGUUUUAAUUCUCUAUUGGAAACUUCAACUUGUCCACUAGUUUGUGGAUGAUAGGGAGUAGUAACCUUGUGGGUAAUACCAUAUUUAGCUAAAAGAUAAUUAAAUUGACGAUUGCAAAAGUGUGUACCUCUGUCACUGAUGAUGCCACGCGGAGUCCCGAAUCUGGUGAAAAUAUUUUUUUGGACAAAUUUGACAACCACCUUGGCGUCAUUGGUAGGGAGAGCGACGGCUUCAACCCAUUUCGACACAUAAUCAACAGCCACCAAUAUGUACUUGUUCUUCCAAGAUUCAGGGAAAGGUCCCAUGAAAUCUAUUCCCCAGACAUCGAACAAUUCAACCUCUAGAAUAUUAUUCAAUGGCAUCUGAUUUCUGCUAGAAAUAUUUUCAGUGCGUUGGCAUCGAUCACAGGCAGCUACAAAUGCAUAGGCAUCCUUGAACAAAGUUGGCCAAAAAAAUCCAGAUUGUAAUACCUUGGCUGCUGUUUUGGAGGCACCAAAAUGCCCCCCACAUGCCAAUGUGUGGCAAUGUCGCAAUAUGUCUUCCAUCUCCUCCUCAGGCACACAUCUCCGUAUAACUUGGUCAGGGCAAUGUUUCCACAAAUAUGGGUCGUCCCAAUAAUAAUGUUUAACCAAGGAGAAAAACUUCUUCUUCUGAUGAAACGAUAAAUCAGCUGGAAUGAUAGUACUAGCUAAAUAAUUCACAAAGUCAGCGUACCAAGGAGCUUCGGAUGAUCGAAUGGCAUACAAGUGUUCAUCAGGGAACAUCUCCAUAAUGGGUGCAGCAUCAUCACUCAUCUUUACCUCACUGACCAGCCGCGAAAGAUGGUCAGCUACCACGUUUUCGGACCCCUUUUUGUCUCGAAUUUCAAGAUCAAAUUCUUGGAGCAGUAGUACCCAGCGAAUUAAUCGUGGUUUUGCAUCUUUCUUCGAAAGUAAAUACUUUUAUCCAAGGAGAAGAUUACUACUAACAAUUCUUUCUCCGUGGUGGUAUAAUUCCGCUGGGCGUCAUUCAAAGUACGACUGGCAUAAUAAAUUACAUGAAGUAAUUUAUUUCUUCUUUGACCCAAAACUGCCCCUACCGCAUAGUCACUAGCAUCACACAUAAUCUCAAAAGGCAAGUCCUAAUCCGGUGCGACAAUGACAGGUGCAGAAGUAAGCUUCUCUUUCAAGACAUUAAAAUUAAAUUCUACAUCUUUAAGAAGGAGAUUGCAUAAGGGCUUCGUGAUUUUGGAAAAAUCUUGGAUAAACCGCCGAUAAAAUCCAGCAUGACCCAGAAAGCUUUGAAUCCCCUUUAUUGUAGUGGGCGGUGGCAAUUUCUCUACGGUAUCAAUUUUUGCCUUAUCAACCUCUAUGCCUUUAGCUGAAAUUUUAUGCCCUAGGACUAUCCCUUCUUGCACCAUAAAAUGGCAUUUCUCCCAAUUCAAAACCAAAUUGGUUUCUUCACAUCUUUUCAAAACUAAUGCCAAAUUAUGUAAACAAGAAUCAAAUGAUGAGCCAAAAACAGAAAAGUCAUCCAUAAAAACCUCAAUGAAGCGCUCCACCAUGUCCGAAAAGAUGCUCAUCAUGCAACGUUGAAAGGUGGCAGGGGCGUUACACAACCUGAAAGGCAUGCGCCUGUAUGCAAAAGUGCCGAAUGGGCAUGUGAACGUCGUCUUUUCUUGAUCUUCAGGUGCAAUUGGAAUUUGAUUAUACCCAGAAUAUCCAUCUAAAAAACAAUAAUAUGAAUGCUCAGCAAGUCUUUCCAACAUCUGAUCAAUGAAAGACAAGGGAAAGUGAUCUUUCCUUGUCGCAGUGUUCAAUUUCCUGUAGUCUAUGCAGACAUGCCAUCCUGUAGUUGUUCUUGUCGGGAUCAACUCAUUCUUAUCAUUUUUCACCACUGUAAUACCCCCUUUUUUCGGUAGGACUUGAACUGGACUCACCCAACUACUAUCUGAAAUCGGGUAAAUUAUUCCAGCAUCUAAUAACUUUAAUAUUUCAGCUCGCACAACUUCUUUCAUAUUCGGAUUUAAUCGACGCUGAUGCUCAACUGAAGGUUUAAAAUCAUCUUCCAUCAGAAUACGGUGCAUACACAUGGAACGGCUAAGUCCCUUAAUAUCUGCAAUAGUCCACCCUAUUGUCGUUUUAUGCUCCCUCAAAACUCAUAGUAAUUUAUCUUCUUCUAGUUUACUCAAAUUUGCAGCAAUAAUCACAGGAAGAGUUUCAAAAUUACCCAAGUAUGCAUAUCUUAAGUGGGAAGGUAGGGGCUUCAAUGUGAGGGUUGGUGCAGUAAUGACACUGGGUUGUGGCUUGGAGGUUGUGACGCUAAGCUCCUCAAAUUCGCGCCACCUUCCAGGGGGGCGCGGUUUCAUUGCUUCCAAAAAGUACACCAUCUCAGAAAUUUUAGGAUCCUCAUGCUCAGUAGUAACGGAAUGCACAAGGCAAGCCUUCAAUGGAUCAUAUGGAUGUUCUUCUUUAAAUUUUUCAGAGACAACUUUUUCCACUAUAUCCACUCGGAAGCAAGAGUCUGAUUCCACUGGGUACUUUGUUGCUUCAAAGACAUUGAAGGUCACCUGCUCAUCAGCCACUCGCAAAAUUAAUAAACCUUUGUCCACAUCAAUUAAUGUCUUCCCGGUUUUUAGAAAGGGGCGGCCUAAGAUAAUAGGGGUUUCGGCAUCUUCUUCCAUGUCUAAAAUCAAAAAAUCUGCUGGAAAAAUGAGCUUAUCAACUUUGACUAACACAUCCUCAAUUAUGCCUUUGGGAUAUGUUAUGGACCUGUCCCCCAUCUGCAAAGAAACAGUGGUUGGGUGAAUUACCCCCAACCCAAUAUGUUUAGCAAUAGAAGAAGGCAUUAGAUUAAUACUGGAUCCUAAAUCACAUAAAGCUUUUUCAAAGUAAGUGGUUCCAAUAGUGCAAGGUAUAGUAAAACUCCCUGGAUCCUUUAGCUUAGGUGGUAGCUUCCUCUGCAAAAUAGCACUGCAUUCUUCGGAUAAUUUCACUAUCUCAUGUUCGCCCAAUUUCCUCUUCUUUGAUAUAAUAUCCUUCAUGAAUUUGGCAUAACUCGGCAUUUGCUCCAAAGCAUCGGCAAAAGGAAUAUUUAUUUGUAAUUUCUUGAAGAUAUCAAGAAAUUUCAAAAAUUGGGCAUCCACUUUGUUUUUUCGAAGACGUUGAGGGAACGGGAUUGGCGGUACAUAUGGCUUUACAAGGGCAGCAGGUUGAGAUAAUUUCUCUACAGUAGCAAGUUCAAUUUCUGGAGACAUUUCAUCAAGUUGUGCAGUAGUUCCAGUAGUGAUAGACGACGACGACGGCACGUUAGUAAUUUCUGAUGUCUCUGCAGUUUGUUGAUGGAUAUUAUUUUCUUCAUCCAAGUCUACUGCUGUUUUUAUUGGCCUCCCAUUCCGAAGAGUUAUCGCCUCCGCAUGUUCUUAGUUUUUUGGAUUAAUCUCUGUUUGGCUUGGCAAAGCUCCAUUUACUCUUCCUGUCAAUACAUUAGCUAGCUGGCCCAUCUAAACCUCCAAGUUUCGAAUAGAGGCAGCUUGGUUCUGAAGGGUCGUCUCGGUUUUGCUCAUAAAUUGAUUUGUAUUGACAGAGAGAGUGUUGACAUUUCCAGCAAGUUGAGUUAUUAUAUCCUCCAAUCCAUGCUUCUUUUCUUGAGGUGUGAAACCAGGUGGAGGUCCCUGUACAUUUUGGUUAUUACUCCAUGAAAAAUUCGGAUGGUUCUUCCAUCCUGGGUUAUAAGUGUUGGAGUAAGGAUUAUUCCGUUGUCGAUUAAAAUCAGAGACUUGAUUCACUUGUUCAGAUGUUGAUGUGAAUGGACUAGCUCCACACUCGUUGCCAUGAUGAGGUCCUGCACAAAAUUCACAACUUAAAUUAGUAGACUGAAUAGCAUUAACAUUUAAAAUACCAAGUUGUUUAGACAUAGUAGAAAUUUGUGCAGUUAACGCAGAUAUGGCGUCAAUCUCAUGAAUUCCAGCUUUCUUUGGUGUUGAUCUCUCACUAGGCCAUUGAUAGUUAUCUGACGCCAUCUCUUCCAGCAAGUUAUACGCUUUAGUUUCUGUUCUUCCCAUCAAAGCUCCUCCGGCUGCAGCAUCAAUUGUUGUUUUGCUUGUAUUGUUCAAACCAUUGUAGAACGCUUGAACUUGCAUCCAAGUAGGUAGGGCAUGAUGUGGGCACUUCCUUAGCAUAUCCUUGUAUCUGUCCCAUGCUUCAUAAAAAGGUUCCAUGUCAUUCUGAGCAAAUGACAUGAUGUCAUUCCUGAGUUUCGCAGUCUUUGCAAGAGGAAAGAAUUUAGCUAAAAAUUUAUUGGCCAAGUCGUCCUAUGUAGUAAUCGAAUUAGGUGGUUGAGAAUUCAACCACGACUUUGCCUUUUCCUUUAAUGAGAAAGGAAAAAGCCUUAAGCGAACAACAUCAUUGGUAGCUCCAUUGCACUUAAAUAUGUCACAUAUCUCCAAGAAAUUAGAGAUAUGGCUAUUAGGGUCUUCUUGAGGUAAACCACAAAAGAUGGAGGAUUGCUGAAUCAUUGAAAUUAUGGCUGGUUUGAUUUCAAAAUUAUUGGCAUCAAUGGUUGGACGACGAAUGCUCGAUGGUGAUGCCACCACAGAUGAGACAUCAUAGUCCCUUACUGGUUUUGCUUCCUCAGCCAUAGGUGAUGGCUUUUCCAAUAUUGCGUCCUUGCCCCUUUUGAGUUUGUUAAGCUUGUGAAGCGUUCGCUCGAUCUCUAGAUCUAAUGGUACAAGCACAAGACUCUGCGAACGUCUCCCAAAACUCAUGCACUAGGUGAAGUACCUAAAAAAACAAAAAACAAAAUUCAAAUUAAAAAAAUUCAAAUUAAAAUCCAAAUCAAUCUAUAUCGAUAUUAAUAAAAUUUAAAACACUCCCCGACGGGGGUGCCAAAAACUUGUUGUGAUAUUUAUUGCAAGCGCACAAUUCGCACAAGUAAUAUAGUGAUGACUGAAGUGUCGUUCCCACGAAGAGUGAUUUAAUUUACCAAGUACCGAUUGUGAUUAACCCAAGACUUUAUUUGAACAAUUGAUGAUGAGAUUUGAUUGAUUAAUUAACUAAAACAAUGAAUAAAAACAAGCGUAGAAAAAUAAAGUAGUGAGAUUCAAGUUAUGAGAGCACUAGAGCUUCCGAUUUCACCAUAGCCAAUUCUACCCAAUUCCCUUAGCAUGUUAAUCCUAAUUAUUCUCUAUGUUGACAGUUGAUUUUCCCUACUUUAUUCGAUACUCCAUCCCUGGUUAUAUCAAAAGUAUUCUCAUUACCAACCCACUCUAUCCAUAGUAAUGGAAUUAAGAUAAUAAGAACCCAUUAAAUUCCUUGGAAAACCUACAAAACAACCACAUAAGUCAUGACAAACAUCCCUGUCUAAUCAUGUAACUCAUGGCAUCUAUUACAAGAAGCAACCCCAAAUUGGAUAUUCCUAUCGUCAAUUUAGCAUCAAAACAAUUAAAUGUUGGCCAAACAUUCAAAGCAUUAAGCAUGGUAAUAAAUACUCAAGAUGGAAAAAAUACUUGGAAUUAACAUCGACUAAAGUAAUUGAGUAUUCAUGGCUAGGCUACAUCGUAGCCCUAGCAAGAAGAAAUUAGUUCAUGACAACUUUAAUAAAAACCAUGAUAAAUAGUAUCAUAGGAAAGAAGUAACCAAUUGAAGAUUUGAUCUCUGCACGACAGCAACUCUAGCUCCAGGUUGUCUUCUUUGUCUCUCUAAAACUCUCUCAACAAUAGAUGAUGGGUAGAUGAUGGAGGAUGGAUGAUGGGUAAUGGAUCCUUUCAACAAUGACCUAAACUCCCUAUUUAUAAAACUCCUAGAAAUCCUACCUAAGGAAUAAUUACAAUUGUUAUAAAAAUAGGAUUCCUUCUAAAAUAAGGUCUUCUUUAUUUCUUCUUGUUUGACUUGAUAAGACUUGCACCAUCUUGAACUAGGAAAUUUGACAACAUUCCUUGCAACAAAAGGAAUGACUUGGCUUCUUUUUAAUUGAUCUUCAUCUCCUUGCCUUUUUUAGCACAUUUUCUCCUAUUUCACAAUUCCUUCACAAAUCUCACAAAACCAAUUAAAAACAACCAAUUUAAUCUAAAAAAUUAAUAAAUAAAUAAACAAAGGAGGCAUAAAAUAUAUAUAUAUAAAAUAUAGACUUAUCACUAUAUAUAUAUUCUUUACAAAAAUUUAAAGCUCCUUAAAGCCCAUAGAAACCGGUAAAGUCACAGUUUUUUUGACUUUUGAAUAUGGGCAAUACACGAGAAGAUGGACAGUAUUUUGAUAACUCUGUUUAGACUAAAAGCUAAGGACUGUCUAUUAACAAAUAAUUCCAACAUGCAACCUUUUUAAUUAGUCUACUUCCUGAUUGCAGAUGGGGAAGAACUCCACUUAAUGAAGCCCGCAUAGGUGGAAAUAAGAAACUAAUCAAACUGUUUGAAGUUGCUAGAACUUUGUAGUUGUCAGAGUUAUCUAAUCAAUAUCAUCAAGAAAUUAGCUAGCUAAGCAUUUCUCUGAUCAAAAUGAUAAAUUGUCGAUCGGCAAUACAUUUAUCCUUUGAUUAAAUGAUAAAUGUUUAUAAGACUUGGAACAAAAGUUCUGAGAUGUUAUAUGUGUGAAUUUUGUUAGAAUCUUUAAUUCUCUUUUCGAUUUUCUAAUAUGCGUACCUUGGAAAAUAUGAAUUGAACUAUUAUUAUUGUUGAUCUGACUUGGCAAUUCUCAGCGUCAAUUAUUCUUACUAGGCUUGUAAUAAUCAAGGAUCGAGUAAUUAAUUAAUUAAAGCUCUUGAAUCAUGGAAGUAAUGCAUGAAUGCAUCAAGUAAUCCGGAUCAGAAUAGUAAAACCAAAGAAGCACAACUUUUAUUCCCGCAGAUAGUCUUAGCCUAGGUUACAUAAAUUAAUGCAUGAAUGCAUGAGCAGCAGCUGCAUGCAAUAUUAUUGAACCCAAAUCACAACAAAAGGAAAACUUAAGACAAUGCCACUUUCGCAGGGAACGCGAUUGCAUUUAGCGUAUGCAACAAGCCUUUUAAACCUAUAGGUGACCCUGAUAGGACGAGUGAAGUCUCGUGAGGGUUUCCAGUGACGCUACCCACAAACAUCGUAUUAACUUAACAGGAUGAUCAUCCUGGAAGUUUUUCGACAAUGAAGAAAUGUUCAUGGGUGGGGCCUCCAGGUUCUGCAAUGAGGGCAUUUUCGAACUCGUUUCCAGAUUUUGGCUUUAAAAGGUUUCCCAUUUUCUCAUGGUGGAACUUGUAUAUGCCUUCGGUGUACGGUCCUGGUGGUUUCACAACCUCAGGCUUGAAGAGUGUACAUGACCACAGCGUUUUAUUUGGCUGUUUCUCGUCAGCCCCGGCCACAAUCCACGAACUGUCUUGGCUUGCCGUUAUCCAGUAUUUGUCGUUGUAGGUGGAUUUUAUAUGCACCAGACUGGGGAGGUUUACGUCCUUCUCCACUUUGAACCUUGCGUAUUUGCUCUGAACAUCCUCUCCGGAGCAUUGGAGAAUAUCUUGCAUCUUUUCGGUGGCUUGGUCUUUGUAGACCAAGUAUUUACCGCUCGUGAAUGAUUUAAGAGCAAUGAACUUUGGUAAUUCUGCCAUUUCUGAUGAUCUCUCGCUCGCGCUUCAAUUUUUUUUUAUGUAAACUCACUUCUCUCUCUCUCUCUCGUUGCUUAUUGCUUUUCCUAACUCCAACCUGCUGUGCUAUUUAUAAUCAAGCAAACCCAAACCCUGCAUGCAGCUCUGGCUUCUUUUUCUUGCUGUACUGGCCCGCGAUAAGAAAAUUGAAGCCACAAAAAAAAAAAGUCGAGCCAGGUGGCAGUUUUGAAAGGUCAAGUAAUAUUGUUCUUGAUAUAAAACAAACUAAAGCGUGCUCCACGUCUUCAAAUAAAACAAAGUUAAGGCUAGUAAUUAUCGACAUCGAUAUUUUGCGAUAUUAUCGUCGAUAUUGUCAAUAUUUAUACGAUAUGUACAUGGAUAUGUUUCGAAAUAUCCGUGAUUCAAAAAAACCGAAAUAUCCUCGAUAUUUCCUCGAUAUUAUCGAUAUUUCAGACUAUGAUGUGAACUUGAUUAUGUAAUUUCUACUACAUGCACUUAUGGGACAUAACCAUUUAUCAAUUAUAAUAAUGUCACAUAAAAAUUGAAGCCACAAAAAAAAAAAAGUCAAGCCAGGUGGCAGUUUUGAAAGGUCAAGUAAUAAUGUUCUUGAUAUAAAACAAACUAAAGCGUGCUUCACGUCUUCAAAUAAAACAAAGUUAAGCCUAGUAAUCUAUUCUCUGUUGUAAUGUGAACUUGAUUAUGUAAUUUCUACUACAUGCACUUAUGGACAUAACCAUUUAUCAAUUAUAAUAAUGUCAUCGACUAGGACUGAACAGCGACGGCUGAAGGCCCAGCUCAUUCUUAAUCUUAGGCAACACAUGUGCUGGGUUUCAUUUCAUAAAUUCAUAACCAAACCAAGCUAGGUCAUAGAAGGAAGCAAAUUAAGCAAUUGAAAUCCACAUCGGCUGAAAAAAUCUCUCUUGAAAAACCAUAUAAUUGGAGGGUCUGCAAAACUAGACUGUGUGUACGUAGCCAACUUUAUUAAAAUGCCAAUUCAAGUCCUAUGAACACACAUUUCCUUGAAAGUUGCUGGCCAAAUUUUCUUUGUUUUGGUUUUCAAUGAGUUCGAUUUCCUUGAGCAUCACUGAAAAGAUAUUAUAUAUGUGAAAUCUUUUUGUCAGUCUUUGAAUUUACCCAAUGUGGGUGAUCAAUUUUUAUGAUUGCAUUCUAGACUUCUCCUUAGUACAAAACAAAACUACGUGAUUGAUUGAAACGUCAUUAAUUAAUUUAGACAUAUAGGCAUUUGCAUUAAUUCAUUCUAGAUAGUAGAUACACAUCUCCAUAACGCAGAAAGAAUUAGCAUGUCCUUAAUGUGAACUUCGUUAAUAAAUUGAAGAGGAGUUGGAGAACAGUUAGAUGAAUGAAUUAAAGAGGAGUUGGAGAGACGCGGAUGCAAGGGCACACUAAGAAAACUACAGGGUUUAUUUAUAGUUUUAGUGCUAAUAAUGGGUAUAUGACUAAAUAUCUCUAUAAAAAAAAUUAGUGAAUUUAAUCAGAAUGUAAUGACUUAUAGAAUUUUACCUUGGGGCACUUUAAGUCCGUUCCUCCUUAAUAAAGCAUCACUUAAUAGAUUUGAAUUAUGAGCUGAACCCUCCCACCCGCUAAAAACGUAAAUGAAUUCUAAAUCAAAGUUACAAGCUACUGAAACCAUUUAUCAAUUAUAAUUAUGUCAUUAAUUAGGAUUGAACAAUAUGAUUGUAAUGCCAUUUCUAAAGCGUGCUUCACGUCUUCAAAUAAAACAAAGUUAGGCCUAGUAUUUUCUUCUUUAUUGUUUCGGUGCUUAAUGUGAACUUCAUUAUGUAACUUCUAUUACUUGUACUUAAGGGCCAUAGCCAUUUAUCAAAUUAUAAUGAUGUCAUUAAUUAGGAUUGAACAACAAGGUCGUUGAGAUGUUUACAUACUUUAAUUACAGACAUAUGAUAAGUUUAGGAGAGUGAUAUGUAGUUUCAAUUAUUCCUUUCACACAUACCCUAAACUUUAAACCCUAAACCCCUUUCUCUUAAGCAAAAUCUAUCGGUUUUGGGUAAGUUUGAGACACUUGUGGACGAUUGUUUUUAAUUUGGACCCUAUGAAAAUACCUGUAGGAUGUCUAUAUAAAUACCUAGAGAAGGUUAAAUAGGCUAAUUCGAUUUUUGCAAUGAAUAAUAAUCAACUUUUGAAGUAGGAUUGAUAUGAGUUAUCAAUCCUGAAAUGUGCAGAGCUUAAAAUAAAAGAACACACAGAUAUUUAUUUUACGUGGUAAAACCCCACAUCUGGGGAAAAUCCACGGGACUCCUUAGUCCAGAACGAAUCCACUAUAGAAUUGAGAUUACAAGAAGUUCUCACACACACUUAUCCUAGACUCAAUCUAGAUAAUGUUUACCGACUUAUUCAUAACUCAACUUUUGUCAUGGGAUGAUCUUCGACACUCCUUAUGUUGAGCGCAAUAUUGGUCACGAUUGCUUCAAGCUCACCGGAGGAUAAACGCCACAAACGUCUUGAUGCCCUUGACCGUAUGAGUCACUGACAUGCAUAUGUAUGCAAUAUAAAUGAUGAAUGAGUUCGAUAAAUCACCAAGCAACCAGGAGCCCUUGAUGACUUACCGAGAAAAAUAAGUACAGUAGCUUUUCCAAAAAACAGAUUCAAUAUGCUCUCAAAAUCAAUGCGUUGAAAAGCUACACUAUGAAAAGAAGACACCUUGGUUUUAUUCAAAACAGGUUCUCUCACUCAAGAGAAACCUACGUGACCACCAAUCCAAUUCACGAAAGACUUUCAACCUUAUUCAACUACCACACAACAAAACCUGAUGCAAUAUGGACACUAGUUAAACAUGUCAAACAGGAGACCACUCAUACUGUUGAAGCAUGAAUGUUUCUUUUGAUUCAAUUUACAUGCUAUGUGAUGAUGCCAGCUAAUGCACGAUGUGAGGAAACCUCAUGACUUUCUACUACAGCCAAUCCUUUAAAACAAUAUCUACCUAACAAAUUAAUUAGACCGAUCAAGUAGGAAAUAAUAUCAAGAGAUAAAAUAUAAUCCUAUUGAAAAUAGGAUUAACAUAAAAAUACUUGAGUGAAAAUAAUUCCAACUAGGAGUCCUAUAAUGAAUGCAUAAUUAUGUUAUGAUUUACCUGUUGUCAAGUUUCUCAUAUGGUCAGGUCAUGCCUCGGAAGUAUAGGGUUGAGAGAGUUGUGCCAAAGCGUCCAGUAACAUUUCCUCACAAACUAAUUUUCAACUUAUGCUAAAGUCUAGGAAAUGCCAAUACGAUUUUCGUACUAACACCCUACAAACAAAUAAAUUAAAGAAAAAAAAAGUAAAAGAAGAAAAGAAUAUAAAUUCAUAUAUCUCAAUUUCUUGUGUGAAGCUUUUAAAUUCAUUUCAAAAUUAAUAUUAAAAUUUAUUUGUUUUGGUUUUCAAUAAGAUUAAGUUGGAUUUCCUAGAGCAUCAUCACUGAUCUGAUGGCAUCAGAUAAGUCUUUGAAUUACCUAAUGUGAUUGAUUGAUUGGAAUGUAUCCUUAAUACUAAAAAAAAACCAUGUGAUUGAUCGACACGUCAUUGAGCACUUCCACUCUAUCGGCAAGGGCAAGGCAAGAGCAAGAGUUUAGGAUAAGAUUUUUGGUUGCCACUUGUCCAUAUUUAUUAUAACAUUCACAUCUCAAAUUUCAUAUAAAAUUUUCGAAUAAGAUUUUCGAUUGCCACGUAUCCAUAUUUAUUAUAAAAUUCACAUUUCACUCAUCAUACAAUUGAAAUACUUGUUCACUCAUCAUACAAUUGAAAUACUCCUGGUCUUCAUAGUUCGACACAAUCGAGUACAAGGAUGACUCAAUCAUUGGAGGAGGAGAUUCCACCGGAUCACGACGUGGGGGAGUAUUUUCCUUCGAAGGAAGUAAUUGUGCCAUUAUUUUCGACACGGAAAGCACCACUAGAACCGACUACUGACAUUGUUCACUUAAGGAGCCAUGUGUAAUGGUUUUCCUCUUUUUUGUUUUGUCUUGAAUAAUGUAUUAAAAUACAAGAAAAUAUAUUUUUAAAAAUGAUAUUAAAUUGAAUAAAACGAUAAAUUUAUUUUUUUUACAUCGUCACCAAGAUUUUGACCGCUUUGAACGUUUGUCCACGACCAUCCGGUUUCGAUGGAAGAGGCCAUUUGUAUUUUUACACAAAUAAAAUUUUGUAGUAGAAAAUUUGGUGUGGAAAGUGAAAAAUAUUGGAAGGAGAUGAAUUUAUAUGAAGAUUUAGUGUGGAAAGUGAAUAAUAUUGGUAGGUAUUUAUGGAAAAAAAUUCUAGAAUUUUUUGAUAUUUUUUUUACAGCUUUUUUUAGCCAUAAAAUGGGCAACCGUUGAAUUGGAAGACAUUUUUGGAUCGGAGCCUUCAGGAGAAGCUAUGUGCUUGUAGCUGUUGGUUUCUGGCAGUGCUAAUUUUUUUAAAUUAUUGCGCUGACGUUAGCUGCAUGAAAGCAAUACAACGGGCCAGAUCUCCCCAUAGGUCCCACUCCUUACCCGAGCUGGGUCUUGCACGCUGGAACUGCCUUUCAAACCUAGAGCACCCUCCUACCUGGGCUAGCCCCUUGCCCUGGACUUGCUCUAAGACAGAAGAAUUAGCAUGUCCUUAUUAUGUAAACUUCAUUAAUAAAUUUCUACUUUGUACUUGUGGAGGCCCAUAGGAAUUUAUGAAUUAGGAUUGAGAAACAAAGGUUCAAGGGAUUGUUCCAGCUAAUCUUUACCAUAAUAAUAAUAAUAAUAAUUGUUCAGGCCGGCAGCUAAUAAUUAAGUUGGCAUUUUUUUAAGUUUUUUUUUGUCCGGCCAAUAAUAUUAUUUUGGGCCCAAAAUGAAGUAAAGGACUAAAUGUAAAUACAGAAUUGGAAUGUGCUUUUGGGCCUUUUAAGUGGCAUAGGUGGAUCAUAAUAUUGAAGUAGCCCAAACUGUUGAUUUUGGGCGAGUGAACCGGUUCCGAAACCAUGGCCGAUCCUCUCAGUCUUCUUUGCUUUAGCAACUUAUGCUUUGCUUGCUUGGUGAUUAAGCCUAACUAAGGCAAAGCGGCAGCCAGAGCAGCAUCAUUCAGAUUCAGAAGAAGUAGCAAGUAAUUAAGUAAGCUUCAGCCUCACAAACAAAUAUCAAAGCGAAGCAAUCGAAUUUGACAAAGAGAGAGAGAGAAACAGUGAGAGAUCGCGAAAUGGCGUUGCAGUGGAUGAUACUGACGUACGUGGUGGCAGCAGAGGCAGCCUUGGCCUUCCUCUUAACCCUUCCCGCGCCCAAGCUCUUGAAGAAUCAAUUCGUGUCGUUGGUCUCUCUCAUCCUCCAACCUGCCCUCUUUAUCGUUCCAUUCGCCGGCUUUCAGCUCCUUGGUUUGUUUCUUCUUCUUAUUUGAUUUUAUUUUAUUUUAUUCCUAGGGCAUACCAUACCAUAGCAACAAUCUAGCAUCGGAUUUUCCAUUUGAUCUUUUUUACCUGUUUGGGUAAUGGAUUACCAAUUGAUCUUUGACUUGCCUCUUUCUUACUUUCUCUUUUCUUUUAAAUUCUGUGUAGAUAUAUAUUGGAAGAAUGAGCACCGCCUGUCCUGCACCUCUGAGAUCUGCACCGCUGCUGAGCGUGACCGCUAUGAGAAAUCCGUCAGUUUCUAACUACUACUCUCUCUCUCUCUCUCUCGUUUUAAUUUCUUAUGUGAUUCUAAUCUUUAAUCAAGUUGAUGAUGCCUGCAACUCUUCAGCAUGCUAAAAUGAAUUUAUCAAAAAUGAAAUCAUAUAACAAAAGGAAAAUUACAUUUUGAGCAACAACUGAUGUCUCCAAUUUCCAUUCACUAUACUGUUUAACAAAUUUAUUAUAGAAUAACAGCAUUACAAAUUCAUAUUUAUUUUUCUCAAAAUCAUAAUGCCCAAUGACACGCAUACCUGUUUCUUAAUUUUGUCGUCUAAAAUUCUUGCAUAUUCGGCAUUGGAUUGUCUCGUUUCUUCGACUUUUCUUUAGGAUGGUAUCUUGAAUCUUGAAGUUUCUCAUAAUUAUUUCUGUCUUUAUGUAUUGAAAAUUUUCUGCUCUUUAUUAUCUUUAAGAUUUUCUUUGUUUUUGGGUAUUUGCGGAUGAGGGUGAAACAAGGAUUUGUGCUUGUGGAAAUAUUCUGGUAGGAUAUCAAUUGAGUGUAUUUGGAAUAUACUCUCUACUUUUGCGCUGUACAUUUCAUGAAAAACAUGAUAUGUGGUUCAGUUCUUAUAUGUUGCAAGUUGCAGCAUAUGUAGCUGUGGGAUGUCUAAUGAUUGCACAAUGAGCCCUCUGCCAAUCAAGAGAAAUGGAAGAUUCAAGUUCUAUCUACAUAUAUAUACCUUUAAAUUCUAUUAUUCUUGACACCUUUGUUGCGGAAAAUAUGUCAUGCAGAUCUACAAGGCUCAAAGGAAUGUAAUUCUUUGCGCUUCAGCAUGUCUGCUUUACUGGUAUGUUGGCUAGAGAUCAUCAAAUGACCUCAUCUUUUUGUUUUAUUUCUUUACAAGUUUAAGCAAAUAAAAAACUUGAAGGUCUUUACUAUAUUUCUGGUCAUUUGAUAGUAAUCUACAAAUGUUGGGCGCAGGUGUCUUGUUCGCAUAUGCAAAUAUUACAAGGACAUUCAGAAUUUGGAAGAAGUUGAGAAGAGGUGCAAGGAGGAGUAGCUUUUCCCAGAUAGGCUUUUGUUUGGGAGUAGAAACAACCGAGUUCAUAAAUUUUUUUUUCAUCAUAAAUGGGAAACCGAUGUGACUUCUAGUAAUAUUGUAGUGUCUUCACUUUGUGUGGUUAAUUUGUUAGUCAUCAUCUAGUAUGUGUUUCUUUCACCUUUUUCUCGUAGCAAGCUCAAAUAUACUUUUUGUUGUCAACUAUAUAUGAAAAGUAAGACAAUUAUUAUUACUGCUUAGAGAUUUGGCCAUGGCCGGUCUAUUUAUCCUUGAUUGAAUAUAUGAAUUCCAAUCUCCCUUGAUUUGUUGAGAAUCAAGGAUGGUUGCGUGCCAUGAAUUCCAAGCGUGAGUUGAGAUACUUAACCCAGCCUAGAAUGUGCGAGCCUUUACAUGGUCUUCAUUUCAUUGGCGUAUGUUUUGCUUCAAGUUUUGUUUAUACUUGAUCUUAGAUUCAUAGUCGUACAUACCAAAGAAUUCAAUAGUUGAAAUGAGGUCUUCCAUUGCGAUAGUCUUGAGUGACCGAGUCUAUAUCCAAAUUGGGAAUUUAGUCAUCUGUUUACGUACGUAUGGCUCAGCUUUUCAAAUUCUCCAGUAUUGGGAAUGAUUUGGUAUGAAUUGCAGCGUAAACUUGGUUUCACAUACGCCUGCAUUGAUCACCCAGCCCGUCUCCAUCUGAACACCCCGAUGGAGGGGGGUUUAGUAUUUGCAGUAAGAUUUGAUCCACAUUGACCCAUCAUUCACACGCUUUCAGUUCACGACAAUUGCCCUUCAAAUUUCUAAAGAAUAAUAAUGCAUUAAUUCAGGCAUGAUAAUCAACGCACACAUCUGAUUCUCGAACAAAAGCAUCAUCAAGUCAAGGAUAAGGCAAAUUUCUCAAGAGGGUAUUUGUAUGGGCUUAAGAAUAAAUUAAAUAAUGAAUCGAGUCAAGAACUAAGCACACAUUUUCUUUCUUUCUCGAAUUAUAGGGUUUUCUUUAACAUUUUUGGGAAGACUUAAGGGAUUAAAUAAAUAAAUAAAAUAGUCUUAAUAAUCGGAUUUUGCCAAGUGAGAUCAUGCCUCCAAACAAUGGAACUAACCCAAGUUUUGGGCUUGUAUUAUAUAAGCAGAAUAAGACUGCUCUCCUACUGUUUUCCCACUUCCCACAUGGAGGAGGGGCUAACUAGUUGAAAAGAUUGAAAACGAAAACACAUUCUAAAUGUGCAAUACUUUUGACAGCUUGUCGUUUGUUUUUGGGUUUUGGUAGGUAGCAUACUAGCAUCCAUGAAGUAGCCAUGUCCUUAUUAGACGAAUAAGUUUGGGACGUUUUGGUUAGUUUUUGAAGAGGUGCAUAAAAUGAGCUUGAGUCGGUACCAACAAGUUGACAAUCCCUCCUGAGUCCUAACCAAAAGGAUGUAUGUUGAAUGUUGAUUAUUAUUGCAUGAUGCAUGUGGAAUUUUAUUUUCUAAAGCAUGUUUGGAAUGGAACACACAUCAAUCCCAUCCAUCACUGCUUGAUGACUUAGAUUGAUAUAAGCUAUAAAAAUGUCAAGGGCCAAGCCAACUUGUUUGACAUCUCACGCGAACAAGCGUUCAUAUCAAAAUACCAUUUAAGCUUUAUCUAUAUACACAUUGAAAUCUCUUUAUUCAAACAGACAGACUGAAACAUGUGACAUCAUGUGAAAAGAAUGGAAUGGAAUGGAACCUCUGUUUUCACUUCCCUCUAUUCAUCUUGCAGUAUUGUAUUGUAUUACAAGUUACAACUUCAACUUUGGAGAACAAAUUAACUGAUGAAAUGAAAAUUUAAGAAUUAUCAGAAAGAAAAGAAUUCAUAAAUGUUUUCUCUGGACGAAGAUCAAAAUGACCUUCUAAUGUUCUUGAAAUCUACAGACUCAAUGCAUUCCAACCCAGCUCUGUAAGGAUUCAGGAGUUUCAAAAGCUCAGUUGUCUUCUCCUUUGUGUUGUCAUCACCGCAACGAACCUGUAAAACUAACAGGAGCUUCUGAAAUGUACCAACUUGAAGGGCCUCAACAAGAACUCUUUCUUCUUGACUGCUUGCACACUUGCACAGCUUCCAAAUAGCAGAAAUUGAAUACUCAGUCGCCAUUUCUGAUACCCUCAAAAUCUUCUUGACCAAGACAGGUAUAGUGAGAGCAUUAGCAUAGGCCUUUUCCCUCCCAUCUUGGAAAUCGCAAAGACUAUCCAAAACACCCAAAGCCCUCUCACAUAUGCCUCUUUCAGAGUCGACAAGAAUUUCCAACAAUAUGGAAACUAAACCCAUCUCCAGAAAUGCUGAUUUGAUCUUCUCACUAGAUUUAGAAGAAGAAGAAGAUGAUGAUGAUGAAACCAAGUAGAAGACCACCAUCAGUGAAGCCUUGGUAAUCGUCGGAGAAAUUUUCUCUCUGAUGAAGUCGAAAAGUACCUCAUUCACUCCACCAAUCUCCGCCAACGCAUCAACAUGUUUAUUCCGGUCAUGGCAAGCAAGAAGCUCUUUCAAUGCUAAAAUAGCAUUUUGCUUUACUGAAAGAUCAUCACUCAUCUUGAGAAACCAAACCAUGCCGUGCAACGAAGCCUGAGACCCCAAGUAUUUGUGGGCUUCCUCAUCGAAAGCUGGAAGCAUCCAACUCAGCGCAGACAAUAUCUCUUCACAAACGGUGGCAUUUCUCUUUAUGCAAUCACUUGCAAAAGAAUCAAAGGCACCAGCUAGAACAGAGGCCGUCCCAUUCUCCGAGAUGCACCGCUUGUUGCGUUCGCUCUCAGCUCCCCACUUCUUGAUUUUGUGCACACAUUCUAAGCAGCCAUGUUGAUCCAAACGUCUAGCAGAGGCUCCGAUGCUGAAAAGAAUCUCAGAGACCUCCAUUGGCAAGACAGGAAUUCUGGGUGUUGGGACACGUUCGAUGCCGUAGUGCUUGUUUUGAGUGCACCACUCUUGAAUCAUUCUUCUGAGACUAUGGUUGGGAAUCUGAUCAAAGUUUCUCAGCACCUGAUUUGUUACCGGGCAAGUGAAAUUCCCGGCUUCGAGCCACGUGUCAAUACUCUGUCUAUCGUAGGUUAUUCCGGAUGACAAUGUAACCGGAUCCUUCAUCAGGUCCAGCGAUAUUGGGCACAGGAAGUGGUUUGGGAUGAGGGCUUCCAUGUCUAGGUCCCGGGGCUGCUUUUUCUUGGUGCCGUGGCCUGUUCUCCUUCUUGUCCAGCCUAAAACCAUUGCUUGCUGAUUAGCUAGCACAGAUUAAGUUUUGAUCAGAAAAGCAGUGAGAGAAGUUGAUUCUUCUGUUUUUGUUGGUGGUGUUUUUUGUUUGUGAAAAAAUAGGAGGGGAGGUGAUGGGGUUUAUAUACUAAUAAUACUAUAUGUUGUUCCGGCCACAACUUUUCAGGUUUUCAUACACGCGGUGUUCAAAGAUGAGACCAUUUUGCAUAUGGAGAGAAAUGGGAAAGAAUUGAAUAAGUAAACAAAUUCAAGCAGAGGGUUUUAGGAAUAGUACAAUUUGAAUGUUGACCGUUGAAGCUUUGAAAGUUUUAAAAUUAACCGUCAAAAGCGGGGAAGUGGUAAAAGUAAGCUCUUCCUUCAUGGGCCUCAAAUGUACCAAAUAAACGAAUUAUGUUUUUAAAUUAUGAUGAGCUACUUUAAGUAUGGGGUUAUGUAUGAGGAUGAGGUUUUGACGCGUUGACCGAGAUUCUUUUCUUCUUCUUCUUCCGUUUUUUUUUUCUUAAUCUGAAAUUCUGAAUCAGAUAUGACGAACAAGACCGAUAUCUCAGCUGUUACAUUUUUUUCAUUUUUUCUUGUAAGUCUUUUUUUAAAAAUUUAUUUAUUUGAAAACGGAAAAUUACAAGCAAAGCAAAAACCACCAGAACACGCAGGCCCAAACAAAUCGAAGUAAAAAGAAGAGAACAUCAAUUUUUUCUUGUAAGUCUUCAUUGGUGUUUUUUUUAAUUUAUUUUUUUUCUUCGUAGUAUGUAGUAGGAGAAAAGGAAAAACAAAAAAGUCAGUCACCUCAACUUUGUAAGAACGAGUCCUAGGCUCCUCCUUAUCAGACUCUCUCAGCU
rnacentral:lncRNA from 1 species